UGGGGAAUUUUGGACAAUGGGCGCAAGCCUGAUCCAGCCAUGCCGCGUGCAGGAUGAAGGCCUUCGGGUUGUAAACUGCUUUUGUACGGAACGAAAAGACUCUGGUUAAUACCUGGGGUCCAUGACGGUACCGUAAGAAUAAGCACCGGCUAACUACGUGCCAGCAGCCGCGGUAAUACGUAGGGUGCGAGCGUUAAUCGGAAUUACUGGGCGUAAAGCGUGCGCAGGCGGUUCUAUAAGACAGAUGUGAAAUCCCCGGGCUCAACCUGGGAAUGGCAUUUGUGACUGUAGAGCUAGAGUACGGUAGAGGGGGAUGGAAUUCCGCGUGUAGCAGUGAAAUGCGUAGAUAUGCGGAGGAACACCGAUGGCGAAGGCAAUCCCCUGGACCUGUACUGACGCUCAUGCACGAAAGCG
rnacentral:rRNA from 1 species